rnacentral:rRNA from 1 species
GACGAACGCUGGCGGCGUGCUUAACACAUGCAAGUCGAACGGUGAAGCGCCUUCCUUUUUGGUGGGUGUGGAUGAGUGGCGAACGGGUGAGUAACACGUGAGUAACCUGCCCCCUUCUUCUGGAUAACCGCAUGAAAGUGUGGCUAAUACGGGAUAUUCUGGGUCUGUCGCAUGAUGGGUCUGGGAAAGAUAUUGUUUCGGUGGGGGAUGGGCUCGCGGCCUAUCAGCUUGUUGGUGGGGUGAUGGCCUACCAAGGCGGUGACGGGUAGCCGGCCUGAGAGGGUGGACGGGCACACUGGGACGGAGACACGGCCCAGACUCCUACGGGAGGCAGCAGUGGGGAAUAUUGCACAAUGGGCGCAAGCCUGAUGCAGCGACGCCGCGUGAGGGAUGGAGGCCUUCGGGUUGUGAACCUCUUUCGCCAGUGAAGCAGGCCUGCCUCGUUUGUGGGUGGGUUGACGGUAGCUGGAUAAGAAGCGCCGGCUAACUACGUG